UACGGAGGAUCCAAGCGUUAUCCGGAUUUAUUGGGUUUAAAGGGUGCGUAGGCGGCUUAUUAAGUCAGGGGUGAAAGACGGUGGCUCAACCAUCGCAGUGCCUUUGAUACUGAUGAGCUUGAAUGAACUAGAGGUAGGCGGAAUGUGACAAGUAGCGGUGAAAUGCAUAGAUAUGUCACAGAACACCGAUUGCGAAGGCAGCUUACUAUGGUUUUAUUGACGCUGAGGCACGAAAGCGUGGGGAGCGAACAGG
rnacentral:rRNA from 1 species